GUGCUCACUUCAGUGCCACAUACACUGAAAUUGGAGUGAUACAGGGAAGAGUCCCAUGGCCCCUUAGUAAGGAUGACACACAAAUUAUCAAGCAUUCCUGAUUAUUU
ensembl:snRNA U6 U6 spliceosomal RNA